CGGCGCUGGUACAAGCUCUCCCUUUGGCUGGAAGCUCCCGGUGGGACGGCUCGUGGGCUCAGGGUGCCUGUGCUGUGCCUGGCAGAAUUAUGGGGCUGAGGCUGUGCCAGAAUGAUGCUGGUUCCUGGAAGAUCCAUGAGCUGGGAUAAGGCAGUUGCAGAGCAGGACUGUGGGAGGAACACCUUGUCCAGGGGAAGCACCUUGUGGCACUGGGUUUCACAGGGAAAGGCUGGCUGGCUAGUGACAGAGGGACAGAUGACAAGGGGAAGAAAGAUGGAGAGGGCUACUUUCACCUGUCUCCAAGGCUUUUUACACCUGGCCUGAGAGGCGUUUGCUAUGGACUGAUUGGAGAGGAGGACACAGGGCAGGGUUGACCACUAUCCUCUUCCCCUGGAAGAGCAGGGAUGUGCUCCAGCCUCUUCUGCAAGGCCAAGGAAGCCUCAGGUGUUGCUGGAGGGAGGCCCAGCUGUGCACAUUUAUCUAUAGUUGCUGAAGGUAUCAAAAGUUCUAUGAGAAGAACCUAACAAGUUAAACUGUAAACCUAAACUUUGUCCCCUGUGGUAGGGGUCAAAGUACACAGUAAAUAUCUGAGGUAUGUGCCAAAAGUGCAAUUAAACACCUUGUAUGAUCAGCCACUUGAUUACCAAAUGUCCCCUCAACCUUUUC